rnacentral:rRNA from 1 species
CGGACGGGUGAGUAACACGUUGAUAACCUACCUAUAAGACUGGGAUAACUUCGGGAAACCGGAGCUAAUACCGGAUAAUAUAUUGAACCGCAUGGUUCAAUAGUGAAAGACGGUUUUGCUGUCACUUAUAGAUGGAUCCGCGCCGCAUUAGCUAGUUGGUAAGGUAACGGCUUACCAAGGCAACGAUGCGUAGCCGACCUGAGAGGGUGAUCGGCCACACUGGAACUGAGACACGGUCCAGACUCCUACGGGAGGCAGCAGGC